GACGAACGCUGGCGGCGUGCUUAACACAUGCAAGUCGAACGGUGAAAGCGGAGCUUGCUCCGCUGGAUCAGUGGCGAACGGGUGAGUAACACGUGGGCAACCUGCCCCAGACUUCGGGAUAACUCCUCGAAAGAGGUGCUAAUACCGGAUACGAAGCCCCCAGGCAUCUGGGGGUUUGGAGAGUUUUUCGGUCUGGGAUGGGCCCGCGGCCUAUCAGCUUGUUGGUGAGGUAACGGCUCACCAAGGCGACGACGGGUAGCCGGCCUGAGAGGGUGACCGGCCACACUGGGACUGAGACACGGCCCAGACUCCUACGGGGGGCAGCAGUGGGGAAUAUUGCACAAUGGGCGCAAGCCUGAUGCAGCAACGCCGCGUGAGGGAUGACGGCCUUCGGGUUGUAAACCUCUUUUAGUAGGGAAGAAGCGAAAGUGACGGUACCUGCAGAAAAAGCACCGGCUAACUACGUGCCAGCCGCCGCCGUAA
rnacentral:rRNA from 1 species